AGUCGAGCGGACAGAAGGGAGCUUGCUCCCGGAUGUUAGCGGCGGACGGGUGAGUAACACGUGGGUAACCUGCCUGUAAGACUGGGAUAACUCCGGGAAACCGGAGCUAAUACCGGAUAGUUCCUUGAACCGCAUGGUUCAAGGAUGAAAGACGGUUUCGGCUGUCACUUACAGAUGGACCCGCGGCGCAUUAGCUAGUUGGUGGGGUAAUGGCUCACCAAGGCGACGAUGCGUAGCCGACCUGAGAGGGUGAUCGGCCACACUGGGACUGAGACACGGCCCAGACUCCUACGGGAGGCAGCAGUAGGGAAUCUUCCGCAAUGGACGAAAGUCUGACGGAGCAACGCCGCGUGAGUGAUGAAGGUUUUCGGAUCGUAAAGCUCUGUUGUUAGGGAAGAACAAGUGCGAGAGUAACUGCUCGCACCUUGACGGUACCUAACCAGAAAGCCACGGCUAACUACGUGCCAGCAGCCGCGGUAAUACGUAGGUGGCAAGCGUUGUCCGGAAUUAUUGGGCGUAAAGGGCUCGCAGGCGGUUUCUUAAGUCUGAUGUGAAAGCCCCCGGCUCAACCGGGGAGGGUCAUUGGAAACUGGGAAACUUGAGUGCAGAAGAGGAGAGUGGAAUUCCACGUGUAGCGGUGAAAUGCGUAGAGAUGUGGAGGAACACCAGUGGCGAAGGCGACUCUCUGGUCUGUAACUGACGCUGAGGAGCGAAAGCGUGGGGAGCGAACAGGAUUAGAUACCCUGGUAGUCCACGC
rnacentral:rRNA from 1 species